GAUGAACGCUGGCGGCGUGCCUAAUACAUGCAAGUCGAGCGCAGCGGGGACGGGUGAGUAACACGUGGAUAACCUCCUAUAAGACUGGGAUAAAUUCGGGAAACCGGAGCUAAACCGGAUAAUUAUAGCUGGAUCCGCGUUGCAUUGGCUAGUUGGUAAGGUAACGGCUUACCAGGGCAACGAUGCAUAGCCGACCGUAGCGGGGGCUCGGCGACACUGGAACUGAGACACGGUCCAGACUCCUACGGGAGGCAGCAGUAGGGAAUCUUCCGCCAUGGGCGACAGCCUGACGGAGCAACGCCGCGUGAGUGAUGAAUGUCUUCGGAUCGUAAAACUCUGUUAUUAGGGAAGCGGUACCUAAUCAGAAAGCCACGGCUAACUACGGGCCAGCAGCCGCGGUAAUAC
rnacentral:rRNA from 1 species